rnacentral:rRNA from 1 species
GAGUCUACUGCUCGCGUUGCGUCUAUUAUGGAAAACACCAAUCUUUCCAAGCAACAGCAGGUUUCCGAGAUUAUGCGCCAAAUGCUUACUCAAGCUCAAACGGCUGGUCAGUAUUUUACCAAUGACCAAAUCAAAGAAAUGACUCGCAAGGUUAGUGCUGAGGUUGACUUAGUUCAUCAGCAAACGCAGAAUCAGCGGUAUGGCUCUUCUCAUAUUGGCGCUACUGCAAAGGAUAUUUCUAAUGUCGUCACUGAUGCUGCUUCUGGUGUGGUUGAUAUUUUUCAUGGUAUUGAUAAAGCUGUUGCCGAUACUUGGAACAAUUUCUGGAAAGACGGUAAAGCUGAUGGUAUUGGCUCUAAUUUGUCUA